CACAGGCACCAUUCAGAUGGAGAAGGGAAAGGUUCUAGCCUGCAGAGAAGUUCUAGAAUGGGGAAGGGGGAGCAAAGAAUGUGAGAAGGGAGACUAGAAAAGGGAAGAGGCAGGAGGAAGUAAGUACCAGGCAGGAGGAAGGGUCAAUACGCCAAGCCCUUAGUACAAAGAAACUGAGUCGUCCAUAACCGGCUCACACGGGACAAUGUACUAACACACACCCAUCCAACUCACAGUCAGACAAACAGUUCAAUUGUUGGAGCAAGUAGUCCAACACAGCUGAACACACACUCAGUCCAACCAACACAGCCAGAUUGGGCCAAACCAGCUCACAGACGAUCCCGCCCCCACCCACUCUCUGUUUGGUGACCAGCCUGGGAGGCUGAAGGAGGAGCCUGCUGAUAAUCCACAAGGCCACCCCACCCAACUGCCAAGCCACCCAGGAAACAUCUCAAAACUAUCCUUUCUCUUUCUCAACUCCUCCCAUCACAGGACGCGAGGAGGCAUUGACAACAGUGUUAUAUGAAAUCUCAGAGAAGUCAAGUGAUUUUG
rnacentral:lncRNA from 1 species